rnacentral:rRNA from 1 species
CGCGUAGGCGGCCUGGUCAGUCGGAUGUGAAAGCCCCGGGCUUAACCUGGGAAUUGCAUUCGAUACUGCCAGGCUGGAGUGUAGUAGAGGGAAGCGGAAUUCCGGGUGUAGCGGUGAAAUGCGUAGAGAUCCGGAGGAACAUCAGUGGCGAAGGCGGCUUCCUGGACUAACACUGACGCUGAGGUGCAAAAGCGUGGGGAGCAAACA